CAGAUAGAGGUUGCGUGCUUUAUCAGUAGUCCGGCGGAUGCGUCAGGCGCAGGCGAAACCGGAGGAAAGGAAAGCUCGCCGAAAGGAAUGCGUUCCUGAGAUGUAUUUCUUGGGCAUAAAUCGAACAGGUUUAUGACUGUCAUCGCAAGAUGGAGAGCUAUCAU
rnacentral:ncRNA from 1 species